rnacentral:rRNA from 1 species
GACGAACGCUGGCGGCGUGCCUAAUACAUGCAAGUAGAACGCUGAAGGAAGGAGCUUGCUCUUUCCGGAUGAGUUGCGAACGGGUGAGUAACGCGUAGGUAACCUGCCUGGUAGCGGGGGAUAACUAUUGGAAACGAUAGCUAAUACCGCAUAACAGUGGAUAUCGCAUGAUAGCUGCUUAAAAGGUGCAAUUGCACCAC